rnacentral:rRNA from 1 species
GAUGAACGCUGGCCGCGUGCCUAACACAUGCAAGUAGAGCGCACCGAUCAGGAGCUGGCACCUCCUACGUUCUCGGAGGACGGGAGCGUAACCACUCACUCCCCUACCUAUAGGACUGGGAUAACUCCCACAAACCGGAGCUAAUACCGGACAAUAUCUCGAACCGGAUGGAUCAGAAGUGAAAGACGGUCUUGCUGUCACUUCUAGCUGGCCCCGCGCCGCAUUAGCUAGUUGGUAAGGUAACGGCUUACCAAGGCAACGAUGCGUAGCCGACCUGAGAGGGUGAUCGGCCACACAGGAAGUGAGACACGGUCCAGACUCCGACGGGGGGCAGCGGGAGGGAAUCUUCCGCAAUGCAGGAAAGCGUGACGGAGGAACGGCGCGUGAGAGAUGAAGGUCUCCGGAGCGUAAAACUCUGGUGUUGGGGGAGAAGAAAAGUGUAAGUAACUGUGCACGUCUUGACGGUACCUAAUCAGAAAGCCACGGCUAACUACGGG